rnacentral:lncRNA from 1 species
CAGUUAGACCAUGACGCGUAGGAGAAGGCCGCAAUGGAAGGGUCUGUGAGUGUCAUUUUUUAAACAUUUUCAAGCCAUAGUUACUUUGAAUUCUGGAAUCAGACUCCUCAGAUAGGACAGGCUAUCAGCACCGCAGCAAGACAAGCUGAUUUCUCGAGGCACUGAAGGCCAGAAUUCCAGUGUACGCUGAAGACCAAAUGAGACAUCCAGCCUCAUGGAUUGAACAACUACUGAAGUUUGAGCCUUCAGUUGGUAAACAGCCAUUGUUGGAUUAGUUGGACCACCACCGGCUCUAGGCCAAAGCAGCGUGGAAGUUUGUUGGUCUAAAUACAGUGCUGUCUGGCGGGUGGAGACAUGCCCGGAAACACUGAGCAUAGCAUGCCGUGCCCUCCUGGCUCGAGCAGCCUAACCUCUCUUCAGAGGGGAAAUUCUGGCCAUGAAGUAGUAAAAUGACUAACGUGUCACUAUUCUGUAAGGAAACCAAUCACAGAACCCCCAAACCAACUAAGAAAUGAAAACCAGCCUAUUGGCAAACUGCCUCCAAUGAGAAGUCCACCGGAAAAUGUCCAUUCAUCCUAUACAAAGGCACUCAUUUGUUUGAUAACUCACCAUGCUCCUUGGGAAUAAAGAGGCACAGUCUAUGAUACCCGGGUUGUAUGAGGAAAAUCUCAAAGGCAUGAUGCUGAGCAGAAGAACCCAGUCUCGAAAAGCUAAAUGAUGCACAGUUCCACUUCCAUGAUCGUCUUAAAAAGACAAAAAUCACAAAACUCAGAAACUACAGUGAUGGGAAGGUAAGCAGUGGUUGCCAAGACAUGGGUAACAAGAACAGAAGUGGGCUGACUCCAGAGGGAUUGUGUGAAGUGGGGGCAGCUGAGGGAACUGGGAACUGCGACUUACUUCGUUUUUACCGUACAAGGAUUAAAACUGGCAAUACUAUAAAGCCCAGAGUUUUUAUUUGUUCAUCUUCCAAAUUAUAUUUAAAGGCUUGUGUGCAUGAGAGAAAGAUGUGAGAGAGAGAGAGAGAGAAAAGGAGAGAGAGAGAGAAGAGAAGAGAGGCUUGGGGAUGUAUCGCAGUUGGUAGAAUGCUUGUCUACUGUGCAUGAAGCCGCAGGUUCAAUCCCCACCACCACAUAAACUGGGUAUGUAGACUUCAAUGGUAUACUUGAUGCAGAUCCGGCAUGCAGGGGCGUGACAGGUGACACCGAGCACAAGGAAGAUGUUGCUGAUGGAUUUUUAUUCUACGGCAAGCCAAGGUUUCUCAAACAAGUUAAGACAGUGAAGUCCCUAAGUGAACUCCCGGUGGCCCAGAUUCAUCCCGGGCAAGAAGGGGAUCAAGUAAAUUCAGCUCUCCUUGGCUGAGCUUCCAGCUGUCCACAGAACCUUGGCCCCAGGGACUGAUGAAUUUACCUCCAUCCUGACUGCAGAGGUUGGCAGCUUGCAGAGGAAGACAGAGCCCAGCUAGCAGCCCUGACCAAGGCAUGGAGGUGCUGAAACCGACUGCCAUGGGGACCCAGAGGAAAAAAACAGCUCUGCAGAGAGCGGGGAAAGGGACAGUGUCCUCAGAGAACUCCAAAAAGUCUGAAUCACUGGAUUAAGGCUUCAGCUGGCAGAGGAGACGGGCUGUCAAUGUAAGGCAGAGACAUGGAGGCCCACCUGCGAGGGCAAGACCACAGUCAAGACAACUCAAGACACCGGGUGAAGAAAUGAAGAAGAAAUGGUUGUAAAUGCCAUUUCAGCAAAGCCUUGAGUCACUCGCUCAGAUCCCAGCAUCUGAAGGGCUUCAGCAGAAGCCGUGGGCAAGACAGCUGGAAGUGAAUCCAGACUCGGCCCUGGGUACCUGGUACAGGGAGGAGGGUCCAGACUUCAAAGCCAGCCGGGCCUCAAAUACCAGCUCCUCCAAUACGAGCUUUAUGACCCGAUCCAUAGCUCAACACGGCAUCCUCUGCCCUGGUUCCAUCGCAGGUACCACGGGAGAAUGUACCUCACCAAACUGCAUUUCCCAGAGUGUAGACCUUCUCCUGUGCUUUCUAGAAAUGUCCUCCGCCCGCCUUAAAACACUGCAAAGUGAUGUGAAAAGGCCUUUUCCACUUUCCAUGAGACAAUAAAAAAAGCUUUGUAACAGGACAUCUCUACCUGGAAAACUUAC